GUAAUUUUCAUCGUUCGACAGGGUAGAUUAUCUCUCAUUAAAGCGCAAUUUUGUUUUCUAUCCGUUAAAGCGAAGCAUCGCCGGUGUCUACUAUUUAAAUCUUCAAACCCAAAUCUCACAAACUUUCAUUCCCACAAUACCCUUCAUCUCUUCACUUUAAUUAUUCACUGCACUGCUCAUUUACCUCAGGGCCCACAGCGUCAUUUCACCACCAUUACUUCUACAAUAAUCUACCACCAUUCAUUCCACACGACACCGUUUACCACUCAUCGCCACCGUCGCGACCUCGAUACCUUCGCCUCCUUCACGAAAAAUUCAUUUCCAUUUUUACCCCUCCCAAUCCCUCCAAAUUCCAAUUCUCACCAACCGUUGUUUAAUUUCAAUCUAGAAUCUUCGAUUUUCGAUCGCAUUGAAAUGGAGCCCUAG